ACGCUCGACACCUACGGGGGGCAGCAGUGAGGAAUAUUGGUCAAUGGACGCAAGUCUGAACCAGCCAUGCCGCGUGCAGGAUGACGGCUCUAUGAGUUGUAAACUGCUUUUGUACGAGGGUAAACGCAGAUACGUGUAUCUGUCUGAAAGUAUCGUACGAAUAAGGAUCGGCUAACUCCGUGCCAGCAGCCACGGUAAUCUGAGCGGGCUGGCAAGGC
rnacentral:rRNA from 1 species